rnacentral:rRNA from 1 species
AUUGAACGCUGGCGGCAGGCCUAACACAUGCAAGUCGAACGGUAACAGGAAGAAGCUUGCUUCUUUGCUGACGAGUGGCGGACGGGUGAGUAAUGUCUGGGAAACUGCCUGAUGGAGGGGGAUAACUACUGGAAACGGUAGCUAAUACCGCAUAACGUCGCAAGACCAAAGAGGGGGACCUUCGGGACUCUUGCCAUCGGAUGUGCCCAGAUGGGAUUAGCUAGUAGGUGGGGUAACGGCUCACCUAGGCGACGCUCCCUAGCUGGUCUGAGAGGAUGACCAGCCACACUGGAACUGAGACACGGUCCAGACUCCUGCGGGAGGCAGCAGUGGAGAAUAUUGCACAAUGGGCGCAAGCCUGAUGCAGCCAUGCCGCGUGUAUGAAGAAGGCCUUCUGGUUGUAAAGUACUUUCAGCGGGGAGGAAGGGAGUAAAGUUAAUACCGUUGCUCAUUGACGUUACCCGCAGAAGAAGCACCGGCUAACUCCGUG